rnacentral:rRNA from 1 species
AACGAACGCUGGCGGCGUGGAUUAGGCAUGCAAGUCGAACGCGAAAGUGGAGCAAUCCAUGAGUAGAGUGGCGAACUGGUGAGUAACAGGUGGGCAAUGUGCCCCAAAGUGGGGGAUAACUCCGAGAAAUCGGAGCUAAUACCGCAUGUGGUGUUAUGGGCCUCGGCUCGUAACAUUAAAGGAGCAAUUCGCUUUGGGAU